rnacentral:rRNA from 1 species
UACGUAGGGGGCGAGCGUUGUCCGGAUUUAUUGGGCGUAAAGAGCGUGUAGGCGGCCAGGUAGGUCUGCUGUGAAAACUCGAGGCUCAACCUCGAGACGUCGGCGGAAACCAUCUGGCUAGAGUCCGGAAGAGGAGAGUGGAAUUCCUGGUGUAGCGGUGAAAUGCGCAGAUAUCAGGAAGAACACCCGUGGCGAAGGCGGCUCUCUGGGACGGUACUGGCGCUGAGACGCGAAAGCGUGGGGAGCGAACAGG